UUCGAUAACGAACGAGACCUUGACUGUUAGGUUGUGUAGCUGGUCUAUGGCUGGUUGAUGCUACUAACAGGACUGACUAUGGUUAAUAGUCGGAGGUUUGAGGCAAUAACAGGUCUGUGAUGCCCUUUGAUGUUCUGGGCUGCACGCGCGCUACACUGACAAAGACAAAAGGUAGACCUUGGUUGAGAGACCAGGGAAAUCCGGAAUGUUUGUCGUGCUGGGGAUAGAUCAUUGCAAUUAUUGGUCUUGAACGAGGAAUUCCUAGUAAGCACAAGUCAUCAGCUUGUGCUGAUUACGUCCCUGCCCUUUGUACACACCGCCCGUCGCUACUACCGAUUGAAUGGCUAC
rnacentral:rRNA from 1 species